ACCCAGCUGACGAGUCUCAAAUAGGACGAAACGUGCGUCAUGGAU
rnacentral:hammerhead_ribozyme from 1 species